UCGAUCAGAUCCGAAAUACUACGACUACAUAGAUUUAUAAAACCUAUUCGGAAAGCGCCAAAACGGAUCAAGCUCUUUGCAUUAUUAGAUAUUUAAAUUUAGCCGAGUCUAAUCCGGUUGAAAAUUAUCUCGCAAUAUUAAUACACAUCAAAGUAAAAUGCUUCAUCGUAUAAAUUCUUCGUUGAAAACAAAAUCUAUUCCGGUUAUUAUUACCCGUGAUGAAAAUACGCGACGUCUGCAUCGUGUCACAUUUUUUUGUUUUUGUCGAACGGAUUAUUACAUUUUUACACUGUACAAAAACCACAAUAACCGUCUCUAUACCAAUAAACACGC